rnacentral:rRNA from 1 species
GUAGGUGGCAAGCGUUGUCCGGAAUUAUUGGGCGUAAGCGCGCGCAGGUGGUUCUUUAAGUCUGAUGUGAAAGCCCCCGGCUCAACCGGGGAGGGUCAUUGGAAACUGGGGAACUUGAGUGCAGGAGAGGAAAGUGGAAUUCCACGUGUAGCGGUGAAAUGCGUAGAUAUGUGGAGGAACACCAGUGGCGAAGGCGACUUUCUGGCCUGUAACUGACACUGAGGCGCGAAAGCGUGGGGAGCAAACAGGGAUUAGAUACCCUGGUAGUCCACGCCGUAAACGAUGAGUGCUAAGUGUUGGGGGGGUUUCCCGCCCCUCAGUGCUGCAGCUAACGCAUUAAGCACUCCGCCUGGGGAUACGGUCGCAAGACUG